AGCGAACGCUGGCGGCAGGCCUAACACAUGCAAGUCGAACGAAGUCUUCGGACUUAGUGGCGGACGGGUGAGUAACACGUGGGAACGUGCCUUUAGGUUCGGAAUAACUCAGGGAAACUUGUGCUAAUACCGAAUGUGCCCUUCGGGGGAAAGAUUUAUCGCCUUUAGAGCGGCCCGCGUCUGAUUAGCUAGUUGGUGAGGUAGAGGCUCACCAAGGCUACGAUCAGUAGCUGGUCUGAGAGGAUGACCAGCCACAUUGGGACUGAGACGCGGCCCAAACUCCUACGGGAGGCAGCAGUGGGGAAUCUUGCGCAAUGGGCGAAAGCCUGACGCAGCCAUGCCGCGUGGAUGAUGAAGGUCUUAGGAUUGUAAAAUCCUUUCACCGGUGAAGAUAAUGACUGUAGCCGGAGAAGAAGCCCCGGCUAACUUCGUGCCAGCCGCCGCCGUAAGAC
rnacentral:rRNA from 1 species